UACGUAGGUGGCGAGCGUUGUCCGGAUUUACUAGGCGUAAAGAGCGCGCAGGCGGUCGUGCAAGUCGCGUGUGAAAGCCCCCGGCUCAACUGGGGAGGGUCACGCGAUACUGUUCGACUCGAAGGCAGGAGAGGGAAGUGGAAUUCCCGGUGUAGUGGUGAAAUGCGUAGAUAUCGGGAGGAACACCAGUGGCGAAGGCGACUUCCUGGCCCGUUCUUGACGCUGAGGCGCGAAAGCUAGGGGAGCAAACGGG
rnacentral:rRNA from 1 species